GACAGAGGAUGCAAGCGUUAAUCGGAAUUACUGGGCGUAAAGCGUGCGCAGGCGGUUUUGUAAGUCUGUCGUGAAAUCCCCGGGCUCAACCUGGGAAUUGCGAUGGAGACUGCAAGGCUAGAAUCUGGCAGAGGGGGGUAGAAUUCCACGUGUAGCAGUGAAAUGCGUAGAGAUGUGGAGGAACACCGAUGGCGAAGGCAGCCCCCUGGGUCAAGAUUGACGCUCAUGCACGAAAGCGUGGGGAGCAAACAGG
rnacentral:rRNA from 1 species